rnacentral:rRNA from 1 species
UUUAAAGAGAGUUUGAUCCUGGCUCAGGACGAACGCUGGCGGCGUGCCUAAUACAUGCAAGUCGAACGAACGGAGGAAGAGCUUGCUCUUCCAAAGCUAGUGGCGGACGGGUGAGUAACACGUGGGCAACCUGCCUGUAAGUUGGGGAUAACUCCGGGAAACCGGGGCUAAUACCGAAUGAUAAAGUGUGGCGCAUGCCACGCUUUUGAAAGAUGGUUUCGGCUAUCGCUUACAGAUGGGCCCGCGGUGCAUUAGCUAGUUGGUAGGGUAAUGGCCUACCAAGGCAACGAUGCAUAGCCGACCUGAGAGGGUGAUCGGCCACACUGGGACUGAGACACGGCCCAGACUCCUACGGGAGGCAGCAGUAGGG